rnacentral:lncRNA from 1 species
UCGAAUCAUAGUCAAGACAAAAUUGUAUUAUUUUUUAAUAAAAAUUGCAAGAUAAAAUGGAGGGAAAACAGGGAAAACAAAUUAGGGUUUAGAGUUUGCUUGUGUAUACAAGCUUAUAAUAUAAAAGAUAAUAGUCCAUUUAUAGAGCAAUUCAAGGGUAAAAAUUACACACUCAAAAAAUUACAAUAUAAGCUCUAAGAUACAAUAUUCUUAUAUCUAUAUUACUAAUUACAAUCAUAUCGAUCAAUAAUGUAUCAACUUCUUUUUUUGCAUAAGUCACUACAUAUGUGACAUACUCAUUCCCAUAUUUAGCUAACUAUACUAUACCAUAAUAAAAGAAAAUGAAUUAAACAUUAAUAUCAUCAUAGUUUUAAAUUGCAGUCGCAGUUGCACCAUUAACCUUUAUAUUGCAUGCAAAUGCAACAACAAUUGUCAUUCGAAUAUCGAAUGUUUUUGUAGAGACCUCUAAAACUGUUAUAUUGCAGUUGUAGAUCGCAAUUUAAAACUAUAAUUAUAUAAUAUGUUUAUAAUCAAGGACUUAAAGAAGUAGGGGGUGAGCCAGGGCUAUGAGGAGGUAGGAAUAGUGGAGGAAGAGGAAAGGGGAAAAUUGAUUUUGGUGGUGGCGGCGGCGGUGGUGAUGGAGUUAAUCCUGGUAUUACUACUGGCGGAAAAGGAAAAAAU